UACGUAGGGUGCGAGCGUUGCCCGGAUUUAUUGGGCGUAAAGGGCGCGUAGGCGGCCACGCACGUCCGUUGUGAAAUCGCCCGGCUCAACUGGGCGGGGUCAGCGGAUACGGUGUGGCUCGAGCAAGCUAGGGGGCAAUGGAAUUCCCGGUGUAGCGGUGAAAUGCGCAGAUAUCGGGAGGAACACCAAUGGCGAAGGCAGCUCGCUGGGACGUUACUGACGCUGAGACGCGAAAGCGUGGGGAGCAAACAGGG
rnacentral:rRNA from 1 species